GAAGUAGCUCAGUGGUAGAGCAAUCGGCUGUUAACCGAUCGGUCGUAGGUUCGAGUCCUACCUUC
rnacentral:tRNA from 2 species